UACGUAGGGGGCUAGCGUUGUCCGGAAUCAUUGGGCGUAAAGCGCACGUAGGCGGCCCUGUAAGUCCGUUGUGAAAGUCAAAGGCUCAACCUUUGAAUGCCGAUGGAUACUGCAGGGCUAGAGUCCGGAAGAGGCGAGUGGAAUUCCUGGUGUAGCGGUGGAAUGCGCAGAUAUCAGGAGGAACACCAAUAGCGAAGGCAGCUCGCUGGGACGGUACUGACGCUAAGGUGCGAAAGCGUGGGGAGCGAACAGG
rnacentral:rRNA from 1 species